rnacentral:tRNA from 1 species
UCGGUUCAAUCCGAUAAAGGGCUU